rnacentral:miRNA from 1 species
GAUGAAAGAGCGGUGCCUUU